CAGCCGCCGCGGUAAUACGUAGGUGGCGAGCGUUGUCCGGAUUUAUUGGGCGUAAAGGGAGUGUAGGCGGUCUUUUAAGUCUGAUGUGAAAGCCCACGGCUCAACCGUGGAGGGUCAUUGGAAACUGGGAGACUUGAGUGCAGAAGAGGAGAGCGGAAUUCCAUGUGUAGCGGUGAAAUGCGUAGAUAUAUGGAGGAACACCAGUGGCGAAGGCGGCUCUCUGGUCUGUAACUGACGCUGAGGCUCGAAAGCGUGGGGAGCAAACAGGAUUAGAUACCCCAGUAGUCCCUGUCUCUUAUAC
rnacentral:rRNA from 1 species